AUUAUUUAUAUAAAUAGAUUAGUUGCUUUCCUACUUCAGAGAAGCAUGCGUAAGCAGUGCUUUGCAGUAGUAAAAAACAUAAAGCAUAUCUAUAAUUAUAUUAACUCUAAGAGAAAUCUAAUAAUAAACGAAGUGAAUUGAAAUAUCUUAGUAACUUUAGGAAAAGAAAUCAAAAGAGAUUCUAUGAUUAGCGUGAGCUAAAAUAGACUAGCCUAGAAAGUAAAAUGGUGGAUAAACUGUUUAAAUUCAAUGGGGAACCUUCCUCAAAGGCUAAAUAUAAUAUAUAAGCGAUAGUGAAAAGUACCGUGAGGGAACUAAAACAAAAACAGUAAUUUUAUAAGCAGUUCGGAAAAAUAAAAAAGUUAGAACGUACCUUUUGCAUAAUGGGUCACCAAGUUAACAUUAGAUGCGAGAUUAUACGUAGUUAAACCGAGCGUUAAAAUAACGGAAAGUGUCUAAAGUUAGACCCGAAGCCUAGUGAUUUUACUAUAAUCAGGAUUAUAAAAGUCCGAACGGAAUAUUGUAGCAUAAAUAUCCGAAGAAUUAUGGUAGGUGUAGUGAAAGACAAUACUGACUAGGAUAGCUGGUUUUCUGCGAAACCUAUAAUAGUAGGCAAUUUAAGUAUAAUAUCUUAGCAGGUACAGAAUUUAAUCUCAGACAAGACAUAUAAAAUGUUUUAUUUUGUACAAAUUGGGGGAUCAUGAAGAUUUUAUCAGUGAGUAUGUAGACUCGGAAUGGCAAAGAUAUAUCUUAAAUCAUCAGACAUAGAAUGAUAAGGUUGUAUGUCAAAAGGGAAACAGCCCAGAACAAGAGUUAAGGUUCCUAAAUUAUUAGUUGAGUGAAAUUAAGAAGGUUUUUAUUAAAGUCGACAAGGAGAUAGGCUUAGAAGCAGCCAUAAUUUUAUGACCUCGUAACAGAGCGCUUGUUAAGUUUUAAAAGCAUCGAAAAUUUAUCGGAUCUAAACAAUAUACCGAAACCUUGUCCAUAAUAUUUUAUAAUAAAAAUAAUAAUUAUAAUUAAAUGGGGUAGCAGAACGUUGAGCUAAAUUACGAUUUUUAUUUUUUAAAUAAAAUUAUAAUAAUUUAACUCAAGUGAUAAUGGUGACAUGAGUAACUAAAAGAAAAUUUUCCGCCUAAAGCUUAUGGAUGUAAUUAAGUAACGGCCUCUAAGUUUAUAUUAUCUAAAGAUUUAAACGAUGAGAUAAUCUUUUUUACUAAGGACGACAUUUUAAGUGAAAAAUGUACUGGAAAAAUAGUAAUAUAUUUAUUUCUUCCUUAACGAAGCACUGCUGCUGCGAAGCAUGCAUGCAUUGAUUAGCUACAAGCUAAUAAAUAAAUGAAAAGUAACCGUACCUAGAAACUGAAACAAGUAAGCUAGUAGAGAAUACGAAGGCGUAAAUGAGCUAACAAUCAUAAAGGAACUCGGCAAAUUGACUACCGUAACUUCGGGAUAAGGAGAGCUCAUUAUUCUUGAUUAAUAUCAAGUAAAGAGGAAGAAGCAUGAAAUAGUGUUGUACGACUGUUUAAUUAAAACACAGCACUUUGCUGAAAGAUUAAAAAUCUAAGUAUAGAGUGUGAUGUCUGCCCGGUGCCGGCUGGUUAACAGAUAUAAUUAGAUAUACUAAUAUUUGAUGUUGACGGAAACCCCGGUUAAAGGCGGCCUUAACGUGAGGGUCCUAAGGUAGCGAAAUGCCUUGGCCGUUAAAUGCGGUCUUGCAUGAAUGAUGUAACGAUACAACAGCUGUCUCUAUGAUUGACUCAGUGAAAUUGGAAUAGCUGUGCAGAUACAGUUUACCUCUAGUUAGACGAGAAGACCCUAUGCAGCUUUACUGUCACUAAUUAUAGAGUAUGAUAAACAAUUUUCAGAUUAUAAGGUAAUUGACCAGAUGACAAUGAGAAUCCUUUAUUUUUUUUUCAUAUGAAUGAACUGGUCUAGGACUAUGAAUUGGCAACAAUUCAUUUUAGUAGAUCAACCUAAUUCAGCUUAUUUUCCUUUCACUGCUCUGCUGCAAAGUAGCAGUAGUGAAAUAGAUAAGUACCCUUGGGUGAGGAACUAUCGCUAGGGGACAGUUUAUGUGGGGCACAGACCCUGUAAAGAGUAAACAGGAGUGUCUAAUAAUUUAUAAUUAUUUUGUUUGCGAUUUAAUAUAGUUUAACUAUUUUUAAUCAUAUAAAAUUAUUUAUAUGUACAUUCGUUGUAUAUAUAUUUAAGAAAAGGUAGGAUUUUCACUAUAUAGAAAUUAGAGAUAAUAAAAAUAUUAAGAAGUAUAGAGCACUGCUGCUUUGCAGCAGCAGCAGCACUAAGUAUUAAUUCUAAUGUUUUUUAACUAUUAUUAAUAAUAGUUAUGUUUUAAUUGUCUAAAAAGCUCAACGGCUAAAUCUUGCCUUACUGUUUGAUUAUCAACAAAUCUUACAGUUGCGUAAGCAGGGCAUAGGAUCACAAGAUGCAACAAGGAAAGAUCUUGGAUUAUUGGAAAAGCUACGCUAGGGAUGUUUGUCCUUUAAUAUUUUAUGUUUGCUGCAUACUACAUAGCAGUGCUCCUGCAAAGCAGGAGCAAAGCCACAAUACAUAAGAUAAUUAAUAAUAUAUUGGGUUAAUUUCAAAAAUUACUUAAUAAGUAAAUUUGAAGCGAAAUUUA
rnacentral:rRNA from 1 species